AUUUCAUAUACCAAAUUGAACUUCGUAACUUAUAUGCAUACUUGCAUAGGCCUACUGUAAGUCAUUCCAACAAGUUGACUUAGUGCUCAGUCACUUUCCAUCUAAUAGACCCAUCAUGCAGUUAAAAGCCUAAAACUAAUGUUUGAAGCUCACAUAUAGUGGAAUACAAAUGUGCAGAGUUAAGGAUCUUUUCUGAAUCUCACAAUUUUGGUGGUGUACCCUGCAACAGCAUGUGUGUUGUUAAGGAUGCUUUUACUUCUGCUUAGAAGGGAAUACAGCUAAGAGAUAGUUUCAGAGACAUGAAGCGUGUGAAGUGAAUAACCUGCCAUGUGUAUGCACAUGUACCCGAUCUGCUUGAUGAAAGUCCAAUGCCUUACUAAAUUCAUCACCCAUAUGAUAAAGCAUCAGGAAAUUUAUCUUAACAUGUGGAGUAAUGCUGUUGGUUGCUGUGA